GGCCGCGGGAAUUCGAUUCAGGCCUAACACAUGCAAGUCGAACGAUGAAGCCGGAGCUUGCUCCGGUGGAUUAGUGGCGAACGGGUGAGUAACACGUGAGCAAUCUGCCCUUGACUCUGGGAUAACUCCGAGAAAUCGGUGCUAAUACCGGAUAUGACCUUGGAAGGCAUCUUCUGAGGUGGAAAGUUUUUCGGUCAAGGAUGAGCUCGCGGCCUAUCAGCUUGUUGGUGAGGUAAUGGCUCACCAAGGCAACGACGGGUAGCCUGCCUGAGAGGGUGACCGGCCACACUGGGACUGAGACACGGCCCAGACUCCUACGGGAGGCAGCAGUGGGGAAUAUUG
rnacentral:rRNA from 1 species